AAGCAUUUCAAAUUAAAUAUUAAUCUUAAAAUUUUAGGCCCUUUCCUUGCAUCCCUAGGGUUAGGGAUCUUCGCGCUCGCACUCCUACUUUGAGCCCAUUUUGCAUUUGUUGUACUUGCUCUUUCAAUCCGAGACAGCAGUGGCUUUCUCCUGUCCUGUUUUUGGCAGCCCGGUGAGUCAUGAAACCAGACAGAUCGGUUCUACUGCCAAUUAAGACUACCCAGUUUGAGCUAGGAUUCUACGCCUUGAUCCUCUUCACAGUCCAGAUGACCUUGACUACUGCCUUACUGAGAAUUGGAUAUGAGGUUCAACAGCAUCUCCAUUUUACCUCCUUUAAUACCUCUCCAUCUUUUUAUUUCUGUUCUCAUCACUUAGUGACUGGGCUCGAUUGCCAUAAUGCUGAUAGCUUCCUAACUGGUGUAUCUGUCUCUGGUAUCAUCUUCUGA
rnacentral:lncRNA from 1 species